rnacentral:rRNA from 1 species
UACGUAGGGUGCAAGCGUUGUCCGGAAUUAUUGGGCGUAAAGAGCUCGUAGGCGGCUUGUCGCGUCGUCCGUGAAAACCUGCGGCUCAACUGCAGGCUGGCGGUCGAUACGGGCAGGCUGGAGUUCGGUAGGGGAGACUGGAAUUCCCGGUGUAGUGGUGGAAGUGCGUAGAUAUCGGGAGGAACACCAGUGGCGAAGGCGGCGUCCUGGACCGGCACUGACGCUGAGGAGCGAAAGCGUGGGGAGCGAACGGGG